rnacentral:rRNA from 1 species
UACAGAGGGUGCGAGCGUUGUCCGGAAUCACUGGGCGUAAAGGGCGCGUAGGCGGCUUGAUAAGGUUGCGGUGAAAGCCCGGGGCUCAACCCCGGGUCGGCCGUGGCAACUGUCGAGCUGGAGCACUGUAGAGGCAGGUGGAAUUCCGGGUGUAGCGGUGGAAUGCGUAGAGAUCCGGAAGAACACCGGUGGCGAAGGCGGCCUGCUGGGCAGUGGCUGGACGCUG